AGGACGAACGCUGGCGGCGUGCUUAACACAUGCAAGUCGAACGAAGUCCAUCCGGUGGUAACACCGGUGAAGACUUAGUGGCGAACGGGUGAGUAACACGUGAGUAACCUGCCCCGAAGACCGGGAUAACAGUGGGAAACCACUGCUAAUACCGGAUGUCCCCGAUGGACCGCAUGGUCUGCCGAGGAAAUGGACUCCGCUUCGGGAGGGGCUCGCGGCCUAUCAACUAGUUGGUGGGGUAACGGCCUACCAAGGUGACGACGGGUAGCUGGUCUGAGAGGACGAUCAGCCACACUGGGACUGAGACACGGCCCAGACUCCUACGGGAGGCAGCAGUGGGGAAUCUUGCGCAAUGGGCGAAAGCCUGACGCAGCAACGCCGCGUGAGGGAUGAAUGCCUUCGGGUUGUAAACCUCUUUCAGCAGGGACGAUUGUGACGGUACCUGCAGAAGAAGCCCCGGCAACUACGUGCCAGCAGCCGCGGUAA
rnacentral:rRNA from 1 species